AAUGGAGGAAACUCUGACGCAGCCAUGCCGCGUGAAGGAUGAAUGCCUAUGGGUUGUAAACUUCUUUUACGUAGGAAGAACGCAGAUACGUGUAUCUGUUUGACGGUACUACACGAAUAAGGACCGGCUAACUCCGUGCCAGCAGCCGCGGUAAUACGGAGGGUCCAAGCGUUAUCCGGAUUCAUUGGGUUUAAAGGGUACGUAGGCGGAUAAAUAAGUCAGUGGUGAAAGCCCGAAGCUCAACUUCGGAACUGCCAUUGAUACUGUUUAUCUUGAAUUUGGUUGAAGUGGGCGGAAUAUGACAUGUAGCGGUGAAAUGCAUAGAUAUGUCAUGGAACACCAAUAGUGAAGACAGCUCACUAAGCCAAUAUUGACGCUGAGGUACGAAAGCAUGGGUAGCGAACAGGAUU
rnacentral:rRNA from 1 species